CUGAGUAGGAUGAAGCCGGAGGAAACUCUGGUGGAGGUCCGAAGCGUUUUUGACGUGCAAAUCAAUCGUCAGACUUGGGUAUAGGGGCGAAAGACUAAUCGAACCAUCUAGUAGCUGGUUCCCUUCGAAGUUUCCCCCAGGAAAGCUGGUGCCAUGUUUGACAGUUUUAUCUGGUAAAGCGAAUGAUUAGAGGCAUUGGGGACGAAUUGUCCUCGACCUAUUCUCAAACUUUAAAUGGGUAAUGUACCGUUGUACUUCUUGAUAUUCAUGAGUGCUCGGUCAAAUGCAAUGGCACCAAGUGGGCCAUUUUUGGUAAGCAGAACUGGCGAUGUGGGAUGAACCAAACGUUGAGCUAGGAUGCCCAAAGUGCUUCUCAUGAGAUACCAUGAAAGGUGUCAGUCGAUAUUGACAGCAGGACGGUGGCCGCAGAAGUAGGAAUCCGCUAAGGAGUGUGUAACAACUCACCUGCCGAAUCGACUGGUCCUGAAAAUGGAUGGCGCUGGAGACGUAUAUCCAUGCUCGACCGUCAAUGCCAACGAAAGCGAUUGCUAUAUGGCUUGACGUGUAGAAGGGCGAUUGCCGUGGCGUCGAAACUUGCACCGUGAGGUGGGGUAGAGCUGCGGCAUGUGCAGAUCUUGGUGGUAGUAGCAAGUAUUCAAAUGAGAGCAUUGAAGACUGAAGUGGAGUAAGGUUCCAUGUGAACAGCAUUUGGACAUGGAUCAGCCGAUCCUAAGAGAACGUGUAAGUUCGUGAUUAAGCGCGUCGCCUUGUGCGUCGCAAUCGAAAGGGAAUCGGGUUAAUAUUCCCGAGCCAGGAUACGGAAUGUGCCUGAUUAUUCGGAAGUACCUUGUGUGCUUUCGACUUCAGGCAAAAGCGGCAACGCCAACAAACCCAGAGAUUAACUAUGCGGAGUCCGGGGAAGAGUUUUCUCUUCUUUGUAAGGGAUGUUAUCCCUGGAAACAGAUUGUCUGGCGAUAGGGUACGCAUCCCGUAAUGCAACGCGAUUCCUGCGAUGUACCGUGCGCUUCGUAUAGUGCUUGAAAAUCUGGGGGCGAGUUUGUUCAGGCCGUACCUGUUCGUACUGAUUUCCGCAGCAGGUCUCCAAGGUGAGCAGCCUCUAGUCGAUGGGACAAAGUAGACAAGGGAAGUCGGCAAAUUAGAUCCGUAACUUCGGAAAAAGGAUUGGCUCUAAAGGCUGAGUUGGUCGGGCGGUUGCGUGAAGCUGGGAGCGACGCUUUGACUCUGUCUCAGACUCCGUUCUCGCAAGGGAUGCGGAAUCGAGGACGGAACUUUGUCUACGCUUUCUGUGGACCGCGGUCGCUAUGCCACCCGUGCGGUAUCUAAACGUAAGUCUCGAGCCGUGCGACGUGGAUCCGAUCAGCGUUUAACAGCUGACCUAGAACUGGUAUGGACAAGGGGAAUCCAACUGUUUAAUUAAAACAAAGCAUUGCGAUAGCUGUAAUCGGUGUUGACGCGAUGUGAUUUCUGCCCAGUGCUCUGAAUGUUAAAGUGAAGGAACUCAUCCAAGCGCGAGUUAACGGCGGAAGUAACUAUGACUUUCUUAAGGUAGCCAAAUGCCUCGUCAUCUAAUUAGUGACGUGCAUGAAUGGAUUAUUGAGAUUCCUUCUGUCCCUGUCUGCAACCUAGCGAAACCACAGCCAAGGGAACGGGCUUGGAGAGUAACAGCGGGGAAAGAAGACCCUGUUGAGCUUGACUCUAGUCAGUCUUUGUGAAGAAACAUGAUGGGUGUAGAAUAGGUGGGAGGACGCGACAGUGAAAUACCACUACUAUCAUCGUUUCUUUACUUACUCAAUUGAUCAGGGAGCGUGAAUUCGCUAUUUGCGAUGUAUGAUUAUUCCUCUAGUGGAAUAAGUGUCUGGUUUGAGAACACAGACUGAUUGGGAGUUUGACUGGGGCGGUACAUCUGUUAAAAUCUAACGCAGGUGUCCUAAGGCAAUCUCAGCGUGGACAGAAACCUCGCAUAGAGCGAAAGGGCAAAAGAUUGCUUGAUCUUGAUUUUCAGUACGAAUAAAGA
rnacentral:rRNA from 1 species